rnacentral:rRNA from 1 species
GAUGAACGCUGGCGGCGUGCCUAAUACAUGCAAGUCGAGCGAACGGACGAGAAGCUUGCUUCUCUGAUGUUAGCGGCGGACGGGUGAGUAACACGUGGAUAACCUACCUAUAAGACUGGGAUAACUUCGGGAAACCGGAGCUAAUACCGGAUAAUAUUUUGAACCGCAUGGUUCAAAAGUGAAAGACGGUCUAGCUGUCACUUAUAGAUGGAUCCGCACUGCAUUAGCUAGUUGGUAAGGUAACGGCUUACCAAGGCAACGAUGCAUAGCCGACCUGAGAGGGUGAUCGGCCACACUGGAACUGAGACACGGUCCAGACUCCUACGGGAGGCAGCAGUAGGGAAUCUUCCGCAAUGGGCGAAAGCCUGACGGAGCAACGCCGCGUGAGUGAUGAAGGUCUUCGGAUCGUAAAACUCUGUUAUUAGGGAAGAACAUAUGUGUAAGUAACUGUGCACAUCUUGACGGUACCUAAUCAGAAAGCCACGGCUAACUACGUG